UACGUAGGGGGCAAGCGUUGUCCGGAAUCAUUGGGCGUAAAGAGCGUGUAGGCGGCCCGGUAAGUCCGCUGUGAAAGUCCAGGGCUCAACCCUGGGAUGCCGGUGGAUACUGUCGGGCUCGAGUCCGGAAGAGGAGUGUGGAAUUCCUGGUGCAGCGGUGAAAUGCGCAGAUAUCAGGAGGAACACCAAUGGCGAAGGCAGCACUCUGGGACGUGACUGACGCUGAGACGCGAAAGCGUGGGGAGCAAACAGG
rnacentral:rRNA from 1 species